rnacentral:tRNA from 1 species
GAGGCCGUGGUGUAGCUUGGCUAGCAUGUGGGCCUCGGGCGCCCAUGGUCGCGGGUUCAAAUCCCGCCGGCCUCACCA